GGGGAAUUUUGGACAAUGGGCGCAAGCCUGAUCCAGCCAUGCCGCGUGAGUGAAGAAGGCCUUCGGGUUGUAAAGCUCUUUCGGACGGGAAGAAAUGGCGGGCUCUAACAUAGCCUGUCGAUGACGGUACCUCAGGAAUAAGUCUCGGCUAACUACGUGCCAGCAGCCGCGGUAAAACGUAGGAGGCGAGCGUUAUCCGGAUUUACUGGGCGUAAAGCGCACGCAGGCGGCUCUGUUAGUCGGACGUGAAAGCUCUCGGCUUAACCGGGAGAGGCCGUUCGAUACUGCGGGGCUUGAGGUAGGGAGAGGAAUGCGGAAUUCCCGGUGUAGUGGUGGAAUGCGUAGAUAUCGGGAGGAACACCUGUGGCGAAAGCGGCAUUCUGGCCCUCACCUGACGCUGAGGUGCGAAAGCGUGGGUAGCAAACA
rnacentral:rRNA from 1 species